GGCAACCCGCUCAGGUCCUUCUCCACAAUGUGGAAGCUUUGUUCUUUCGCUCUUUGCAAUAAAUCUUGCUACCGCUCACUCUUUGGGUCCACGCUGCUUUUACAAGCUGUAACACUCACCACAAAGGUCUGCAGCUUCAUUCCUGAAGCCAGCGAGACCAUGAGCCCACCGGGAGGAGCGAACAACUCCAGACGCGCUGUCUUAAGAGCUGUAACAGUCACCUCGAAGGUCUGCAGCUUCACUCCUGAGCCAGCGAGACCACGAACCCACCAGAAGUAAGAAACUCUGAACACAUCCGAACAUCAGAAGGAACAAACUCCAGAGGCGCCACCUUAAGAGCUGUAACACUCACCGCGAGCGUCUGCGGCUUCAUUCUUGAAGUCAGUGAGACCAAGAACCCACCAAUUCUGGACACAAUAGGAUUUAAAAACCACAAUCUGGAUGCUUAUUGUGUUAAUUACUGCUGAGUUGUCAUUCCUUUUAGACUUUUUCAAGGGACAGAGCAAUGAAAUAUGCAUUUUAAAAUUUAUUUUAAAAGAUAAAAUGAGUUUAUAGUGAUAUGUCCAAUUCAAACGUUAGAUUAUAAAAUUUUUACUUACCUUCUUUGAUUUUAUUUGCUUAUUUGAGUAAUCUUACUGUUACUAGUUAUUCUGAUGUUCUAGAAUCAUUUAUAUUUGAAGCAACAGCCAAGGUUUAUCAAUGCCUGAAAAGUGAAACAGAAAUGAUAAAGAAAAUAAAGGAAAACAUCAAUGCAGAAAGGAACUAUAGUAAAUAUCUUUAGGGAUGUAAAAGAAGAUAUUAUCUCCAUGGAAUUAUUGCAGAGAACUCUUAACCUAGGUUCAGUAGUCUUAUUGCCUAUUAUUUUUAAGCUAUAUAUGUGUUGUAAGCUAAAGUUGACAAGUAAUUAUGUUAAUAUAGAGACUGAGCUUUUCAGCAUAGGAACAACAAGAUACAAAUAUAAAAUCAAAUAAGCAAAAACCCUGUAAUCAUAAAAAAUUGGGAAAUGUUAUUGAAAGACCACCAUCUGGACACAAGGGCUCCUUGGGAAAACACCACAAGAAUGCAAUAAGCCAAAGCUCGAAAUUCUACAGAACCUAUUAUCUGAUUUCUUCUACGAAUGAAUAGCAUGAAAAGAAGAGAGGAACUAACGUGUAUUUUGUAUAGAUCUUACUUGGUUUCCAACUCAAGCCAACUUCAAAAAAGACAUUUUAGACAACAAGAGAAAGUGGAUCACUGGGCAUUACGUGAGGAGACCGAGCCAGGCGGAACGCUUAGGUCCAGGAGUUCGAGACCAACAUGGGCAGCACGGUGAAACCCCAUCUCUACAAAAAUUGCAAAAAUUUACCGGGUGUGGUGGUGUGGCGCCUGUUGUCCCAGCUACUCAGAUGCUGAGGUGAGAGGAUCGCUUGAGCUUGGGAGGUCGAGGAUGCAGUGAAUCCAGAUCGUGCCACUGCACUCCAGCCUGUGUAACAGAGAGAGACUGUAUCUAAAAAUAAAAAAUAAAAAAAAAAUUAAAAAGAAUCUGAAUUGUAGUUCAGACCCAUAACCUACCACACACAAGAAUCUCAUCCUCUUCACUCCUGCCUAAGAGAGACAGAUUUGUUCUUUACCAAAUGCAAAGUUAUCUGGUCUCUUUAAUUUCUUCUCUCCCUCUUCUGGCAAACUGCCUAGGCGAAGACACUUUCCAGAUCAAGCGGUGUCAUGGGGCAGCAAAUGACCUUAAGUCAUUAAAACAGAGUUUUAGUGACUCUGCUGCUGUUUACUACACAACCUUGGGCAAAUCCCAUCUUGACUUCAGAGUAUUUGAGUGGAAUGUAUGCGUAGUAUUUGUAAACUAAAAACAUUUACAAUAUAAGUGAUAGAUCAUAUUGCUGUUAGCAAAGCACAGGUUGCCUAGUAAAAGUAUCCUGGUCAAGAUCUUUGGUUUUCAAAAGAAGAGCAUUUGUAGACAAAGGAGGAAGUCAUGUUUAUUUGUAGUAAUUAAAUGACAGGGGAACAAAUCAAGACACCUACUUUCCUGAAUGUUUAUUCAAAACAUGGUAGAAUUAGUGGUUAGUGGCUAGCAGAGCCUCAUAUCUGCUCCUGU
rnacentral:lncRNA from 1 species